rfam:Anaerolineaceae bacterium 4572_32.2 ex4572_32.2_scaffold_2225, whole genome shotgun sequence.
UUGGACAAAAUCUGCAAGCCAAAGACAGCCGGCGCGCCUGAGGGCGCUUAAACACAGCCAGCCGAGGCAAGGCACUUAUUUCAUCCUUUAGAACCGGGUGAGCUCGUGUCCCUGCGUCGGCAUGACGCAGGGAUUUUCUAUUCUAUCA